rnacentral:rRNA from 1 species
AUAUUGCACAAUGGGGGAAACCCUGAUGCAGCGACGCCGCGUGAGUGAAGAAGUAUUUCGGUAUGUAAAGCUCUAUCAGCAGGGAAGAAGAAAGACGGUACCUGACUAAGAAGCCCCGGCUAACUACGUGCCAGCAGCCGCGGUAAUACGUAGGGGGCAAGCGUUAUCCGGAUUUACUGGGUGUAAAGGGAGCGUAGACGGCGAAGCAAGUCUGAGGUGAAAGCCCGGGGCUCAACCGCGGGACUGCUUUGGAAACUGUUUUGCUAGAGUGCUGGAGAGGUAAGUGGAAUUCCUAGUGUAGCGGUGAAAUGCGUAGAUAUUAGGAAGAACACCAGUGGCGAAGGCGGCUUACUGGACAGUAACUGACGUUGAGGCUCGAAAGCGUGGGGAGCAAACAG